UACGGAGGGGGCAAGCGUUGUCCGGACUUACUGGGCGUAAAGGGCGCGUAGGCGGCGUGACAAGUCACUUGUGAAAUCUCCGGGCUUAACCCGGAACGGUCAAGUGAUACUGUCGUGCUAGAGUACAGAAGGGGCAACUGGAAUUCUCGGUGUAGCGGUGAAAUGCGUAGAUAUCGAGAGGAACACCUGCGGCGAAGGCGGGUUGCUGGGCUGAUACUGACGCUGAGGCGCGAAAGCCAGGGGAGCGAACGGG
rnacentral:rRNA from 1 species